rnacentral:sRNA from 1 species
CUUUGAGUCAUGAACUCUAGGCCAUCCUAGUUGCAUUUUCCUCCUUUAAUAACAAAUGAGUCCUGUAUCUGAAAAUAGAACAGAAACUUACAAUUGUAUUCAGGAAUUGCUUAACUAUUUUAAUAAUAAUUCUCCUUCACUAGACUAUUAAAAUCUCCUACUUUGAUCAUUUAAAACUUCCAGGCCGGGCAUGGUGGUUCAAGCCUGUAAUCCCAGCACUUUGAGAGGCCGAGGCAGGAGUAUCACUCGAACCUGGGAGGCAGAGGUUUUAGUGAACCGAAAUCACACCACUGCACUCCAGCCUGGGUGACAGAGUGAGACACCAUCUCAAAAAGAAAAAAAAAAAAGCUUCAAAUAAGUUGAUGUGGUGGCUCACACCUGUAAUCCCAGUGCUUUGAGAGGCUAAGAUGGGAGGAUCACUCAAGCCCAGGAGUUUGAGGCUGCAAAGAGCUGUGAUCGUGCCACUGCAUUCCAGCCUGGGUGAUAGAGUGAGACCCAGUCUCUAUUUUAAAAAAAGCAAAAAUUUCUAAAUGGCAUAAACUAACUUUGUUUUUCUUUUCUGGCAGUUGACAGUGCGGAGUUAAGAGGAGAAUCAGCUUUCAGUGGCAUUCCUAAUGGGCAGUGGAUGACCCAGUCAUUUACAG